CAGGCGCAGGCGCAGCGACAGGCAGAGCCAUGGCGUCAACGUGAAGGGGAGUCGAGUCAUCAGGCACAUCGCAGACAGAGCACCUGUCGAAUUCAUCAGCAAUACCGAGGCACUCGACAUGAUUACCCGGCAGAAGGUCCAUUCCAAGCGCGUCGCAUACCCUGGCGGCUACAGGGUAGGGUCUUUCCAGGUUCGUUCUGCAAGCUGGGUGACUGUCCGCCAUAUUAGGGAAUUAUAUACUGUGCAAUCAAGCAGAUGAACCCCUAGCCGUCGGGCGAGACAGCAGCAGCAGCAGCAGCAGCAGCACGGCGAGACAUUUGCCAACCACAUUGAGGAUGCUCUCUACCUCUGCAACCGGAUAAAUGACACCAUGACAGAAGGCCAUCAAAACCCUCUACACUUGAACGUUCUCUUCGCCUCCUGGCAGCCAAUAAUAAACGAAAAACCACUCAAUGUAGGCAAUGCUAUUCGUUUUCAAAGCAGACAAAAGUUACCAGCUAUAAACGAGGAAAGCGUUUGGUUGGGCUCUUAAGGUAAUGCAUUGGGUCAUCGCCCACUGCUUGCAUCGGUGGCCUCGUGAAUUUGACGCCACGAAGUUGGAAUAAAAAUAUAUUGUAAUAUUUUGGCGUUAUAGGGCCCAAGACAAUCGAUCCAUCUGUUUCGCCUGUGGAACCGCCGGUCAUAUUGUGCGCUUUGACCCUUUCACUACGAUCGCCGCCAAGGCAUUCUUCGUUUUUCUUCUCGCCGACGGUCGCUUUCCCCUGUGUGUGCUCGGCCGCCUGCUCUCGAGCUAAAUUUAUUGAUGCGGUUCCGUAGGCAAGAACUGGAAGUGCUUCGAUCUCUACAAUACUUCAAUUUUCUCAGCAAAAUAUUAUUGUUGAAGCCUUGUCGUAAGGUCAAAAAAGUUAUCACGUCACUUUUUGGCAUGGUACUCUCCCCUGCUAGUCAUCAGCCGUGUGCCCGGCCCGUGUCGUCAUCAAAGAC